GAUGAACGCUGGCGGCGUGCCUAAUACAUGCAAGUCGAGCGAACAGACGAGGAGCUUGCUCCUCUGACGUUAGCGGCGGACGGGUGAGUAACACGUGGAUAACCUACCUAUAAGACUGGGAUAACUUCGGGAAACCGGAGCUAAUACCGGAUAAUAUAUUGAACCGCAUGGUGCAAUAGUGAAAGACGGUUUUGCUGUCACUUAUAGAUGGAUCCGCGCCGCAUUAGCUAGUUGGUAAGGUAACGGCUUACCAAGGCAACGAUGCGUAGCCGACCUGAGAGGGUGAUCGGCCACACUGGAACUGGGACACGGUCAAGACUCCUACGGGAGGCAGCAGUAGGGAAUCUUCCGCAAUGGGCGAAAGCCUGACGGAGCAACGCCGCGUGAAUGAUGACGGUCUUCGGAUCGUAAAACUCUGUUAUUAGGGAAGAACAAAUGUGUAAGUAACUAUGCACGUCUUGACGGUACCUAAUCAGAAAGCCACGGCUAACUACGUG
rnacentral:rRNA from 1 species